CUAAUGAACAUGCUACACAGUCUUUAGCCUGAACAGUGAAGCUUCUAAGAGACAUAGGCCAAAAAUUCAGAUACAGUGUAAAAGCAGUGAUCAAGCAGGAAUGUUUUCAGAGUCUUAUUAAAUAAAUACAGAGACUUGCUGUUCCUUAUUUCUGGUAGCAGACAGUCAUAUAGUUGGAUCCCUUAAUUAAAUGGAUAAGCAUGCACUGGAGAUAUGUACCGCUUAAUGUCUUCCUGAACCCUAAAUGUCACUUAGCAAGAAAUAGAGAGUCCUGGUGCAGUUUUCCAGACUGGCAGAAGGAAAGACAUGGAUAUGAAACAGAGGCAUGGCAGCAUGGUCGUGAUCCUACAGUUAUCUGCAAGUGUGCGUGCUUUGUAAAGUGAUAUGUAUUGGCAGACUAAGUGAACUGUGUAUAAAUAUUUUGCAUAUUUUCAAGCUAACUUGUUUCAAAUAUAUUUAAACAGUAGAGUAAUGUACACAAAUAUAAACUGAAUGAGGAGAAUGGGGGUU